AGGACGUUCCAGCCCUUCUAUCCUUUGCUGCACAUCUCUCAGUGUUCUGGUGUUCAGCUCUGGGCUCUCUGGGCCAUACAGUUUGUCUGCCGUCAAAACGCCCCUCAGUACUGUAAUGUGCUUCAGAGUGAAGGAGGAACAGACAUACUGAGGGUCCUGAGCUCACAUCCAGACACCCACAGUGAUGUAAAGAAUCUGACCGAAAACAUCCUGAAGAUCCUGGAGCGAAAUGUUCAUCCCACAAGCUCAGUGGAGGAUUUUCAUUGACGUCACAGAAAAAAAUAUGGAUUCGUAAAGGGAUGUGCCAUUUCAGGGAGACAUUUCAGAACAUUUUAGAUUCAACAAAA